GCCCGCCUAGCUCAAUCGGCUAGAGCGUCAGACUUUUAGGGCUCUACGAGAUUCCCAGACAUCUGAAGGCUGCGAGUUCGACCCUCGCGGUGGGCU
rnacentral:tRNA from 1 species